UUAAAAAGCUCGUAGUUGGAUUUCUGCGGGGGCGGGGCGGCCGGUUGCUUAUAGCAACUCGAGCUAGCACUUCCCCUGCAUCCUGCCGCGAACCGUGCUACCAUUAGUUCGGUGGCGCCGGGGAUCGACUCGUUUACUUUGAGAAAAAUAGAGUGUUCAAAGCAGGCCACACGCCUUGAAUAAGUUAGCAUGGAAUAAUGAUAAAGGACUUCGGUUCUAUUUUGUUGGUGUUCGGGACUGAAGUAAUGAUUGAUAGGGACAGUUGGGGCGGUCAGUAUUCCAAAGCGAGAGGUGAAAUUCUUAGACCUUCGGAAGACUAACAGCUGCGAAAGCGUUCCGCAAGGAUGUUCCCUUUGAUCAAGAACGAAAGUUGGGGGAUCGAAGACGAUCAGAUACCGUCGUAGUCUCAACUAUAAACUAUACCAGCUAGGGAUCGGCCGACGCUUACUUAUAUCGACUCGGUCGGCACCUUAUGAGAAAUCAAAGCAUCUGGGUUCCGGGGGGAGUAUGGUCGCAAGGCUGAAACUUAAAGGAAUUGACGGAAGGGCACCACCAGCCGUGGAGCCUGU
rnacentral:rRNA from 1 species